rnacentral:lncRNA from 10 species
CUGCUGGGGUCUGGGAUGGAGGGGCUUUGCACUGGACCACCUGAGCUAUCCAGGGUGUGGGGCUCCAUAGAGGCCCAGAUAGGGGCUCAGGGACCUCCAGCCAGGGCAGAAGAGCUCAGGGGUGGUUUCCUGGCUCUCUGCAGUGAGUAGGGUGUUAGAAGGCACCAAAACAAGGCCCCUCCCCCUUGGAUCUGCAGGGCAUGGGCUGGUCGUAUGUCAGCUGUUGCUGCCACAGAAGUCAGGCUUCCAGGGGUGGAGUGAGCCCUGGGGUGACCUGGUGAUUCUGCAGCCACUGUGACAAGGCAUGGAGUGUCUUACGGGUCCCCUGCGGUCCAGUGUUAGAGCACCAAGUUACGUAACCCAUGUGACCCUGGGCUUCCCAACACGGCGCAGGCUUUCCCGUAGACCCUCCUUCACACUGGAGCCCCUUUGACAGGAAGGGUGAGAUCAAAGGAAUCCUUCUCUCCAUGAGGAAUGCCGGCGCUUGCAGCAGCUGCUCUGCGAGGGCCCGCAUGUUUGCAGACCCGGACCUCAGGAAGGGAAUGCAGGUGACCACAGCAGCGCAUUCGGGAAGGUUCGGGGCCAGCUGGCGGCCACAUGAGGAGCCUGCCCUCCCAGGGCUGAGUCUCCAACCAGUAAUUGGGCUGCGUCUCCCGAGGUUGGUCAAGUGGCUUCUCCAAAAUCACCCUGCAGGGUCCCAGCCUCAGCUAUCUCCUGGACUGGGUCACCUGUACCCAAGGCUUCCAGCAUCAGCCAGACUCAGGCCUCUGAUAUUCCUCAGCUCGCCCUGGUCAUUAACCAGACUUUCUCUCUACUCAUGAGCCAGCCUCAGGCAUCUAAAUGAGCAACGGUCCAUCUGCCUGUCAGAUAAAAGACUCAGACGCAGUCCCGGAUGCAACCAUGACUCUCAGCACCAAGGCGUCCCCCCUUCAGCGUUCAGAAUUGGCCACAGGUAAUGGAAUCCACAUAGGGGCUUCACUUCUCAUCAUUCCAGCACCCCCCACCGUGUGUGGAAAUGCACCUUCUCUUCUCCUGGGAGAUGUUCCUCCCAUCCAACCGUCUGGUUCCAGGAAGAUACUGUGCUCAUACAUGACUCCGCCCCCAUAGCCACCACUGAUUGGUCUAUGGGUGGUCACCUCACCCCAUAUUGGCCUUCCUGGGAUUUUUCAAACUGGAACUGACAUGAAGCCAAGAGGAGGAAGAGACUGCAUGUUUUCUGGCAUAUGGGGAAAGCUGAUCUACCAUGACAAAGAGUUAAGACAAUCUCAUUAGAAGACAGAGGAGGUGGGGCUGGACCAUCCAGGGCUGGCUGCUCUGAUGCUCACCUGCACAUCUGACCUGCUCUUUGGCUGCACAACCUGAGUCCAAGAGCAGACCCACAGGGCUCCCUGCAGAGAGUUCAAUGCAGAGGCUAUUUACAGAGGUCUAGGUAGGGGUGGGGAACCUGUACCCCAUGAACUGGAACAGCAGGGAAGCUGUUAUCCACUGUAAGCCCCAGGGCACAGGUGUGGGGCUUUGUUGCUGGAAUGCAGGGAGGGUUGUAAUUCUGGGAGAGGAGUUAUCUGGCAGGAUCGGAGAUCUUAUUUGAAGGAAAACCUCCACUGCCAAAUGUCAGUCAAGCAGGCUCCAACUUCUGUCUCCUCCCACCCUCAGGCUUCUCCUGUUGACUCUCAUCAGCCAAAUCCAACAGAAUCCAGAGGGCAGGGAGCCCCACUGUUGCCAUUUAUAGAGGUCAGCCUGCUGGUCACAGUGAGGUCAGAGAAGUUCACAAAGUGAUGCAGAGGGGCAGUCAGAGAAUAACUUGUGCAAAACGACCCUUCUUUGAUUCCUUGAGUCAGUAAAUGUUCCCAUUGGUCUUAGCAUUUCUGAGUUGCAUUUCUCUUAUUUGACUCCAAAAAUCCUGUUCCUGUGACCAACUCCCCCAAAGAGACUAAGUUUCUUAAGCCAUUUACUAAAUCAAGUAUAUGGGCUGGUGAAGCUCAGUAAUGUUUGUUGGAUGGCUGGAUGAGGAGGCAAGAAAGCACUGCAGAGGCCCCACCACUGCUAGAUAGAUGCUGCACUGGGUCAUCAAAAUGCUACCCAACCUUAGGCGGCAUCUUUGUCAAAGCAUCUUACGAUCUUGCCCAAGAUUACUUUUGAUGGAGCAUAGAGGCUCUUGGCAGCAGAAUGUCUCUUUUCAUGGUCUUUUAUAAAACCAGCUGCCCAGCAGUGCCUGAGACUGAGCAGACAUUUGAUUCAUGUUUGAAUGAAGGGGUGGAUGAGUGGAUGAUAGAUGAUGGAUGGGUGGAGAGAUGAAGAAGUAAAUGGGUAGAUGGAUGGAUGGAUAAACCAGUAAAUGGGUAAAUGGGUGGAUGGAUGAAUAAGCAAAUGAGUAGAUAGGCAGAUGGGUGGUGGAUAAGUCAUAAAUGGAUGGAUGGGUGAAUGAGUAGACGUGUGGAUAGAUGGUUGGAUGAUGAAUGGAUGAGUGUGUGGAUAGGUGAAUGAAUAAGUAAAUGGGUAGAUGGGUGAAUGGAUGGAUGGAUGAUGGAUGGAUAGUGAAUGGAUGGAUGGAUAAGUGAAUGGCUAUAUAGGUAG